rnacentral:lncRNA from 1 species
GUUUGGAAAACACUGAGGCUAACCGCCAAGCUUACCGUACCCUGCUUGUAACAGCUCCAGGACUCGGACAGUACAUCUCUGGUGCUAUUCUUUUCGAGGAGACUCUCUACCAGUCAACCGUUGAUGGCCGCAAAAUAGUUGAUGUUCUUGUUGAACAAAACAUUGUUCCUGGUAUCAAAGUUGACAAGGUAUAUUAACCUACACCCUCAACUUUAACGUCAAUAAAAUAUAUAGUGAACUUUUAGUAACUUCUAUUUUUAAUUUUAUGUGUAAAAUAUUGGUCUCAGAUGAGCUUAAACAGAACGACAUUAUACGUGAGGAUCUAUAUAGCCGACCCCAACUUGCUUGAAAUUCUUGUAGUAACAAGAAAGAGGAAAGGCAGGGUUAUGUAUGGGUAGCAAGAGUUUAUUAUAGGGCGUUCAAACUUUUAAGUUUGACUCUUAAAUAAACUUUAACUUGUUCAACUUAGAGUUGUUUAUAUGGCGAAACUAGCUCAGACAAGAGUUAAUCAGCCUAUGGACUGAGUAUUAAAUGAGAGGAUUUCAAGUUUAAUGAUUAAUUGGACUGAAAUGAGAUUUCUAUCAAAAUCCCCUAAUCAUUUUGUCUGUUAACAGGGUUUGGUUCCCCUUGCUGGUUCAAAUGAUGAGUCAUGGUGUCAAGGUCUUGAUGGCCUUGCCUCCCGCACUGCUGCAUACUACCAACAGGGUGCACGUUUCGCCAAAUGGUAUAUUCAAGAAUGCCUCAUAAUUUUCAAAAAUAUUGACUUUGUUAGGUCUAAAGAUGAUAUUUGCUAAAAUUAUGGUAACUUAUGCAGGCGUACCGUGGUGAGCAUUCCCAACGGACCAUCUGCAUUAGCUGUGAAGGAAGCAGCAUGGGGUUUGGCUCGCUACGCUGCAAUUUCUCAGGACAGUGGUUUGGUCCCAAUUGUGGAGCCAGAGAUUUUGUUAGACGGUGAACAUGGAAUCGACAGGACUUUUGAGGUAGCCCAAAAGGUUUGGGCUGAGGUCUUCUUCUAUUUGGCUGAGAACAAUGUCAUGUUCGAGGGUAUCCUCUUAAAGCCGAGCAUGGUCACUCCUGGUGCUGAAUGCAAAGACAGGGCCACUCCUCAGCAAGUCGCGGACUAUACUCUAAGUCUCCUUCAAAGGAGGAUUCCCCCAGCUGUCCCUGGAAUCAUGGUAAGUCUCCUUUAUUUCUAUGAAUUUAGCUAGUUUUUGACUGAGCACGAAAUUUAACAAACAAAGAGAGAUUGUCAGUACAUUGCCCAAGUAGCCUUAAAACGUGUGCUCUUAAACAUUUUAUGACAUUUCUAUGACUAUAUGAGCAUUGAGAAGUUAUUAAAGACUUAUUAUUUUCGAAAGAGAUUAAAAAGGAAAGUACCGUAUAAGAUGGAACUGAGUCAACAUAUAGAAUAUGAAUCAUUAGUAUCUGACUUCCCGUGAUAUAUAUAGAUGAAUAAGUGAAUAAACACUCAACGAGACUAACAUAAACAUUGGCACUAGGUAUGAAAUUACUAUUUAACUGGUGCUAAUUGACUCGAUAUUGUUGCAGUUCUUGUCUGGUGGGCAAUCAGAAGUUGAGGCUACAUUGAACUUGAAUGCCAUGAACCAAGCUCCAAACCCAUGGCACGUAUCGUUCUCAUACGCGAGGGCUCUUCAGAACACUUGCUUGAAAACAUGGGGAGGACAACCCGAGAACGUUAAGGCUGCUCAGGAUGCUUUACUUACCAGGGCCAAAGCCAACUCUCUUGCUCAGCUCGGAAAAUACACCGGCGAGGGUGAAUCAGAUGAAGCUAAACAAGGAAUGUUUGUAAAAGGCUAUGUCUACUAAGUUACUGCACUGAAGUUUUUAAGAACAGAAGAAAAAAGGAUGAUGAGCUGAAUGAUUAUAUUGAAGCAGAGAAAUUAUGAAUUCUCUCAUAUAAGUUAUGCAAU